GGGGACUAUAGCUCAACGGAAGAGUGCUUUACUAUCUAAGGAAGAAGUAGAGGUUCGAUUCCUCUUACUCCCCA
rnacentral:tRNA from 1 species